rnacentral:rRNA from 1 species
UACGUAGGUGGCAAGCGUUAUCUGGAUUUAUUGGGCGUAAAGGGAACGCAGGCGGUCUUUUAAGUCUGAUGUGAAAGCCUUCGGCUUAACCGGAGUAGUGCAUUGGAAACUGGGAGACUUGAGUGCAGAAGAGGAGAGUGGAACUCCAUGUGUAGCGGUGAAAUGCGUAGAUAUAUGGAAGAACACCAGUGGCGAAAGCGGCUCUCUGGUCUGUAACUGACGCUGAGGGUCGAAAGCGUGGGUAGCAAACAGG